rnacentral:rRNA from 1 species
ACUUGCUUUCUUUGCUGGCGACCGGCGCACGGGUGAGUAACACGUAUCCAACCUACCCUUUACUCGGGGAUGGCCUUUCGAAAGAAAGAUUAAUACCCGAUGGCAUAGUUCUUCCGCAUGGUAGAACUAUUAAAGAAUUUCGGUCAUCGAUGGGGAUGCGUUCCAUUAGGUUGUUGGCGGGGUAACGGCCCACCAAGCCUUCGAUGGAUAGGGGUUCUGAGAGGAAGGUCCCCCACAUUGGAACUGAGACACGGUCCAAACUCCUACGGGAGGCAGCAUG